rnacentral:rRNA from 1 species
CGGAGGAAAAGAAAAUAACAAUGAUUCCUCUAGUAACUGCGAGUGAAGAGGGAAAAGCUCAAAUUUUAAAUCUGUUAGGUUUACCUAACCGAGUUGUAAUUUGAAGAAGCGUUUUCUGCGAUUUUGGUUAGUCCAAAUCCUUUGGAAUAAGGUAUCAUGGAGGGUGAGAAUCCCGUUCGGUUAACCAAAGCGCUUUACGAUACGCUUUCAAAGAGUCAAGUUGUUUGGGAUUGCAGCUUAAAAUGGGAGGUAAAUUUCUCCUAAGGCUAAAUAUUGGCGAGAGACCGAUAGCGAACAAGUACCGUGAGGGAAAGAUGAAAAGAACUUUGAAAAGAGAGUUAAACAGUACGUGAAAUUGUUGAAAGGGAAACGAUUAAAGUCAGUCGUACCUACGAGUAAUCAACCUACUCGAGUGCGAUUUUGUGGGUAUGUUAGAGUUUAAACCUUCAUGCUUACAAAUUGGUGCUCUUUGGGCGUACUUUCUCGUAUGGUAGGUUAACAUCAAUUUCGAUCGUUAUAAAAUGACUGGAGGAAUGUAGCUUCGACCUCGGUUGAAGUGUUAUAGCCUUUGGUAGAUGUAAUGAUUGAGAUUGAGGAUUGCAACGGAUACCCUCUGGGCUAUUCGUCUGAUCUCUGGAAGUUACCUUGAUGUCGAAAGCGUGCUUACGAUAUUAAGGUUGACGGCCAAUAGGUUAGAACGUGAUUAAAUNCGUNAAGGAUGUUGACGUAAUGGCUUUAAACGACCCGUCUUG